UCGCAGGCUGCAACCCGCCUGCGUGAAGUCGGAAUCGCUAGUAAUCGCGGAUCAGCAUGCCGCGGUGAAUACGUUCCCGGGCCUUGUACACACCGCCCGUCACACCAUGAGAGUCGGGAACACCCGAAGUCCGUAGCCUAACCAAUCUGGAGGGCGCGGCCGAAGGUGGGUUCGAUAAUUGGGGUGAAGUCGUAACAAGGUACC
rnacentral:rRNA from 1 species